rnacentral:lncRNA from 1 species
AAAAGCGCGCCGAGAAUGUUCAAAGCUGUCGCGGUGCACCACUCGAAAAAGAAAAUGUUCGAAGAGACACGAGAAUUAUGCUCAGAAUGUUGCGAUGACUCAGGCGCAAAUAUUGUCCGAAUAAAGUGUAGGAAGAGUCCUCACUAUCGAAGGAAGCCGUAUAGCAGAGCACGCUCCUUGCUUGAAAAUUGUUCAGUACUUACGACUUGAAGCGAGCUCGCGAAGUGAUAAACCGGGGCGAUGACGUCACUAAACUCCGUCGCCUCAAUGUGCGAAGGAUUGAAGUAGUCCGGUGACGAUCUUGUUGCCAAGUGAGAAGUGAGAGCGAAGAAUGUUCUAGAAGCGUUGCGAGAGUGACGAAGACAGCGCUACGAAGAUCCGCACAAAGCGGAGGUCGAUACCGGCUCGCGCGCGCACGGCCACGUGUUUCGCAACCACAAGAAUUCACCGCACUUAAACCACUUGUAGAGCACCGAAGUCUUUAUGCACAGAAGUCCGAACUCCCACGAAUUUUAUGCCGGAAAAAUACAAAGGAUCCACGAAUUCCAACUCACAAUCCGGCUCGAAGGACCAUGUAGUUUUUUGAAGGAAUAUUUCUGGUUGGUGAGGAUGGAAUCGUGGAUAAUUGUAUGGCCGGGUGAAGAAAAAAAAGAAUGAAGGCGAAGCCGUAAGUUUCCGUGUAAAAAGUCGUCAAAAAUAUCACAGUUUUAUUUAGUUCGAAGAUUUCACAAUCGAAGCAUCUCGAGGAGUCCGCAGGUGGCCAAUAUGGCGGAGAAGUGAUCGAAGAGAGCCGUUAAUAAUUUGGUUCCGAUAUGAAAGAGAAGUUGAAUACCGCCGGAAAACAAUUGAAGUGAACGUUUUAAUUCCACGGGCGUAAAUCGCGAGACUAAAGCGCGCACUCAACUGAGUUAGAAAAGGAAUGAUUGAAGGUUGCGAAAAAUAGAUUGAUAGAGAAGCACGUGUCGUCUUGUACGACGGUCCGAACAGAAGAGAGAGAAGAAGGCGCCGGCAACUACCGGCAAGCGAAGCACGAGGGAGGGGAGCGCGCGCAGAGGUGCACAGCACCGCCGAGCUCAAGCGAGAGACCGACCGUCGACUGAGGGCCUCCCACGAGAGAACGGCGAACUAUGCCCUUUUCUGAACAACAGGCUUACCGGUAAAGAGCACAUGUGCCGCAAAAGAAAUCUUAUUUGAAAAGAACGAAGGAAGAAAAAAAAAGAUACCAGUACGAAUAAAAAAACUACGAAAUCGUCAAAUUUGCGUGAGAGAGAGGUUAUAGACGAUAAUACCGAAGAUAGUGUCGAAGGUGUCCAACAAUAUCCUAAAGGUGCAAAGAACGAUGAGGAUUUGAAAACCAUCAUGGAGACAUUAGUGGGGUUGGACAAGAUGAAGAAGAAUUUGAAAAUAAUGCAGAAACGAAUCCUAGAACAGGAGAAAAAUAGACAAGAAACUCCUUAUGUUGAACCGUUGGUGGAUUUGGAUACGGUUCAAGAUAGCGAAAAGGUCGAAAUAGUCACUGGCAUGGUUUUUGACGUAUUAGCGCUGAACAAAUCUUGCCAAGCUCACGAUUUGCGCAGAAGACUGAACAUGUUGAUGGACAGUUAUUGGACCAAAGAAGAGAUGAAAUAUUUAGUACCGUCCGAUAAUCCAAGGUUCAAAGCAAAAGGCCAAAAAAAAUUGACGAAGCGAUAGUAAAAGGACUUAUUGACGUAUGCUUCGCCCUCCAAGAAUCAAGAAAAAUUCCGUGUGACGGUUUAAAAACCUACAAAGAUGGCAGGAGAAUGAUGGCUGCAAAAUUGAAGUCUCACCGAUGCAAGUUGAAAGCGGCAGAAAAGAAUAACCGCCAAAGCAGGAGCCGCCAACCGAUCAACGACAGAACACAAGAUGAAACAAACGAGGAUACAGAGUCGGAUAACGAUAUGUCAUAGGAUUAAAGUUUAAAAUGAUGACAAUACAUUUGUUGAUUACCGCAUGACCAUUCAACGCUCGAUAAACCAAGAAGCUUUGCAUGUAGGAUUGGGGAAACUGGUCUUUCCAUGUUAAUUUUAAUAAAAAUGAAACGCACGACAAUUUGUGAUUUGUGACGAGCGCUAAAUAUUUUAUGUAUUAUUAUAUUACUCAUAUUUACGGAUAACAGCUUUUAUCGGUACAUUAACGAAGAACAUACGGAUAAAUAAAGAAAUUUCGUUGCUUUUCAAAUCGUCUAAAAGAAAUGACACAGACUGGACCAACGAAACACGUUUCGAAAGACGAUAAAAAAAUACGAGCGCGUUCGAUAAAAAUUACAAACGUCUAGCUAACAGACUGAAAAUGAAAAAUGAAAUAUCCACUUCAUA